rnacentral:rRNA from 1 species
CCUACGGGUGGCAGCAGUGAGGAAUAUUGGUCAAUGGCCGGAAGGCUGAACCAGCCAUGCCGCGUGAAGGUCAGUGCCCUAUGGGCGUUAAACUUCUUUUGUUCGGGAGCAAUAAUGGUCACGUGUUGCCAGUCGAAAGUACCGUACGAAUAAGCAUCGGCUAACUCCGUGCCAGCAGCCGCGGUAAUACGGAGGAUCCGAGCGUUAUCCGGAUUUAUUGGGGUUAAAGGGAGCGUAGGUGGAUUGUUAAGUCAGUUGUGAAAGUUUGCGGCUCAACCCUAAAAUUGCAGUUGAAACUGGCAGUCUUGAGUACAGUAGAGGUGGGCAGAAUUCGUGGUGUAGCGGUGAAAUGCUUAGAGAUCACGAAGAACUCCGAUUGCGAAGGCAGCUCACUGGACUGAAACUGACACUGAGGCUCGAAAGUGUGGGUAUCAAACAGGAUUAGAUACCCGUGUAGUC